AGUUAAAAAGCUCGUAGUUG
rnacentral:siRNA from 1 species